UACGUAGGGUGCGAGCGUUAAUCGGAAUUACUGGGCGUAAGCGUGCGCAGGCGGUUUUGUAAGUCUGUCGUGAAAGCCCCGGGCUCAACCUGGGAAUGGCGAUGGAGACUGCAAGGCUUUGAAUCUGGCAGAGGGGGGUAGAAUUCCACGUGUAGCAGUGAAAUGCGUAGAGAUGUGGAGGAACACCGAUGGCGAAGGCAGCCCCCUGGGUCAAGAUUGACGCUCAUGCACGAAAGGCGUGGGGAGCAAACAGGG
rnacentral:rRNA from 1 species